GACGAACGCUGGCGGCGUGCUUAACACAUGCAAGUCGAACGGAAAGGCCCUGCUUUUGUGGGGUGCUCGAGUGGCGAACGGGUGAGUAACACGUGAGUAACCUGCCCUUGACUUUGGGAUAACUUCAGGAAACUGGGGCUAAUACCGGAUAGGAGCUCCUGCUGCAUGGUGGGGGUUGGAGAGUUUCGGCGGUUGGGGAUGGACUCGCGGCUUAUCAGCUUGUUGGUGGGGUAGUGGCUUACCAAGGCUUUGACGGGUAGCCGGCCUGAGAGGGUGACCGGCCACAUUGGGACUGAGAUACGGCCCAGACUCCUACGGGAGGCAGCAGUGGGGAAUAUUGCACAAUGGGCGGAAGCCUGAUGCAGCAACGCCGCGUGCGGGAUGACGGCCUUCGGGUUGUAAACCGCUUUCGCCUGUGACGAAGCGUGAGUGACGGUAAUGGGUAAAGAAGCACCGGCUAACUACGUGCCAGCAGCCGCGGUGAUACGUAGGGUGCGAGCGUUGUCCGGAUUUAUUGGGCGUAAAGGGCUCGUAGGUGGUUGAUCGCGUCGGAAGUGUAAUCUUGGGGCUUAACCCUGAGCGUGCUUUCGAUACGGGUUGACUUGAGGAAGGUAGGGGAGAAUGGAAUUCCUGGUGGAGCGGUGGAAUGCGCAGAUAUCAGGAGGAACACCAGUGGCGAAGGCGGUUCUCUGGGCCUUUCCUGACGCUGAGGAGCGAAAGCGUGGGGAGCGAACAGGCUUAGAUACCCUGGUAGUCCACGCUGUAAACGGUGGGUACUAGGUGUGGGGUCCAUUCCACGGGUUCCGUGCCGUAGCUAACGCUCUAAGUACCCCGCCUGGGGAGUACGGCCGCAAGGCUAAAACUCAAAGGAAUUGACGGGGCCCCGCACAAGCGGCGGAGCAUGCGGAUUGAUUCGAUGCAACGCGUAGAACCUUACCUGGGUUUGACAUGGAUCGGGAGUGCUCAGAGAUGGGUGUGCCUCUUUUGGGGUCGGUUCACAGGUGGUGCAUGGCUGUCGUCAGCUCGUGUCGUGAGAUGUUGGGUUAAGUCCCGCAACGAGCGCAACCCUUGUUCACUGUUGCCAGCACGUUAUGGUGGGGACUCAGUGGAGACCGCCGGGGUCAACUCGGAGGAAGGUGGGGAUGACGUCAAGUCAUCAUGCCCCUUAUGUCCAGGGCUUCACGCAUGCUACAAUGGCUGGUACAGAGAGUGGCGAGCCUGUGAGGGUGAGCGAAUCUCGGAAAGCCGGUCUCAGUUCGGAUUGGGGUCUGCAACUCGACCUCAUGAAGUCGGAGUCGCUAGUAAUCGCAGAUCAGCAACGCUGCGGUGAAUACGUUCCCGGG
rnacentral:rRNA from 1 species